rnacentral:rRNA from 1 species
UGGGGAAUUUUGGACAAUGGGCGAAAGCCUGAUCCAGCAAUGCCGCGUGUGUGAAGAAGGCCUUCGGGUUGUAAAGCACUUUUGUCCGGAAAGAAAUCCUUGGCUCUAAUACAGUCGGGGGAUGACGGUACCGGAAGAAUAAGCACCGGCUAACUACGUGCCAGCAGCCGCGGUAAUACGUAGGGUGCAAGCGUUAAUCGGAAUUACUGGGCGUAAAGCGUGCGCAGGCGGUUUGCUAAGACCGAUGUGAAAUCCCCGGGCUCAACCUGGGAACUGCAUUGGUGACUGGCAGGCUAGAGUAUGGCAGAGGGGGGUAGAAUUCCACGUGUAGCAGUGAAAUGCGUAGAGAUGUGGAGGAAUACCGAUGGCGAAGGCAGCCCCCUGGGCCAAUAUUGACGCUCAUGCACGAAAGCGUGGGGAGCAAACAGGAUUAGAUACCCUGGUAGUCCACGCCCUAAACGAUGUCAACUAGUUGUUGGGGAUUCAUUUCCUUAGUAACGUAGCUAACGCGUGAAGUUGACCGCCUGGGGAGUACGGUCGCAAGAUUAAAACUUAAAGGAAUUGACGGGGUCAUAGCUGUUUCCU